AUUCAGUAUAAUUUAUUGGUUUUUAAUGUUCUGUACUACUGCUGCUUUGUUUACAGCACGACAUGCAUUGAAAGUUCCAAUGACUGAUGGAAAUACACUUUUUAAAAGCCAACUAAUUCAAGUGAUUUUAUUUUUAUUUUUUUUAAACAUUGUAUAGAAAUGUUGCUAUUUGUGACAGAAAUGGUUAAAACAUGCUUAGUCAAAUGAAAGAAUCAGCUUCUUUAUAAAAUGCUGGCAUCUGCCAUUUUUUCACCUAGAAUAUUUGGUGAUACAUUUCACGUCUCAAAUAUGGGGUUUAUAUAUGGGGUUUUGGGGUUUGCAUAGGUCGUGUACACAGUGCAGCAAUAUGUUUAGUCAUUGACUGAAUAUAAUACAGUUGAUAACAAUGUUUUCCACACAGGAGCUUCAGACAAGGACCACAUCUUUAAAACCUUCAGUGAUGUAAAUUCUUGUAGGAGCGUGAUUUCCUGAACUGAUACAUAAUAUCUACUUCUACUCAGCUAAAAAAAACUGGUUUGGGAAUCUCAGCCCAGAUCUGUACAGAUUUGCAAAGACACCGCUAAAAACAUCUCCUGUGUCUUCAUUGACAUUAUUCAAAACCUGGGAGUUCUUCUGAUUUUCCUAGAAGGUCAUGUGCCAGUGAUUUCAAGUGUUAAAGAUGGCUUUUUCUUCUUUCAUGGAGUCCUCAGUUCUGGUCAUUUUAUACAUUAGAGUGAGGUUCUCAGAAUUUCUAACAGCACUCUGCAGUAGUGAGGACCAUCUGUUUCUGUGUGUGUGCAUAUGUGAAAGAAAAUUUGUUAAAAUUUAAAUUUUAGCUUCAUAGUAAGAAAUGUUUCUCCUGCUUCUUAGACAUCCUUGAACUUAAAGACAUAUUAAGGGUUUUCCAAUACUAAAUACUCUGUUGGCAUAUGAUUUUACAAAACUUGAG
rnacentral:lncRNA from 1 species